rnacentral:rRNA from 1 species
UGACAUUAGUCAAGUGGUAGGGGAGCGUUCUGUAAGCCGAUGAAGGUGUAUUGAGAAGUAUGCUGGAGGUAUCAGAAGUGCGAAUGCUGACGUGAGUAACGACAAAACGGGUGAAAAACCCGUUCGCUGAAAGACCAAGGGUUCCAGUCCAACGUUAAUCGGGGCUGGGUGAGUCGACCCCUAAGGCGAGGCCGAGAGGCGUAGUCGAUGGGAAAUUGGUUAAUAUUCCAAUACUUCUGUGUAAUGCGAUGAGAGGACGGAGAAGGUUAAGUCAGCCUGGCGUUGGUUGUCCAGGUGGAAGGUUGUAGGCAUGUAUCUUAGGCAAAUCCGGGGUACUCUAUGCUGAGAACUGAUAGCAAGCUGUACUUGUACAGUGAAGUGGCUGAUACCAUGCUUCCAGGAAAAGUCUCUAAGCUUCAGUUACACAGGAAUCGUACCCGAAACCGACACAGGUGGUCAGGUCGAGUAGACCAAAGCGCUUGAGAGAACUCUGCUGAAGGAACUAGGCAAAAUGGUACCGUAACUUCGGGAGAAGGUACGCUGCUGACGGUGAUGGGACUUGCUCCCUGAGCUAUUGGCAGCC